AUCAAGCUGAAGGAGAUUUUCGAGACGCCCUCGGAGAUCGCGCUCGUCCUGGAGCUGGUGACGGGGGGAGAGCUCUUUGACAGGAUCGUGGAGAGGGGGUUCUACAGCGAGCGGGACGCGGCUCACGUGGUCAAGCAGAUCCUGGAGGCAGUUUCGUAUUUGCACGAAAACGGGGUCGUCCACCGGGACCUGAAGCCGGAGAACCUGCUCUACGCUGACCUGUCCCCCAACGCGCCCCUCAAAAUCGGUG